CGGUGCGGGGCGGCGCGGAGGGCCGCGGCCCGGACGGCCCCGUCGGUGUGCGGGGCCUCCGCCGUGCCCCGUGCGGGGCCCGCGCCGUCCCCGCGCCGAGAACGGAGCUCCGGCAGCGCCGGGACCGGGGGGAGCCGCUCCGAGCGGUUCUGGAGUUUUAAACGCGGUUCUGCGGGGUGCGAGCGAGGAGCGUUGGGGUUAAUCAUUCCCACUUAAAAAAAAAGAAAGAAAGAAAGAAAGAAAGAAAAUUAGCCACAAGCGGCGCGUUUGGUAAUUAAAGCGAUUCGCGUGAAAGAAUAAUGUUUGUUAAGCGAGGUGGUCGGCGCGGCUCCGCGUGUGUGCGGUGUGCGGCCACUUCGCUCCUUGGGCUUUUCGGAAAGGCGGCCGUACGCGCUGCACGCGGAGCGACGGUCCCCCGUCGGUCCCCCGCCUCGGCCGCGCUCCGUGCCGUGCCCCGGGGGUGGGCGAGGGGGGCAGCAGCAGGAGGGGGGGGGGGGGGGCACUUAUUCCCAGCUCACUCCUUCACAUCGGCUUCGCUACGUCCAGAAAACGACACUUAAAACAACAAAAAAGGAACUCUUCUUCGUUUUUCUCCCUCAAAUAAUUCCCCGUAUGCAGACACGGAGCUUUUGCUCGCGAACCUAUUGUUCGGCUACGAGCUACAGUUUGCAGUGAUCUGUAUUUGGCGACGAUAGCUAUUCUGUUGCGAUAUCUGUGUCGUUACAGAGCUGCGGUCGGGGCUCUCCCCUCACCGUUCGGGAGCUCCCCGUGGGGCGGUGCAUCCCGAGCCGGGGCUGCGCCGCGCCGCUUUGCCGCACUUCCGUCCCCCCGCGUUAUUUGUCGGUGGCAUUUCUGGGAGGACCGCUCUCUCGGCGCUCCCUCCGCUGCCGCCGCCGCUCCGUCGGCCGCUCGGAGCGACCCGAGUUACGGGACCGUUCCCGGAGAGCGGAGGGGAGCGCCGCGAAUUCACGCGCCGGGGGUGGAACGGCAACGGCGGAACGCGACGAACGGGCGUUACUACCGGCUCCGGCCGUUGUUACGGGAAAAGCUGCGAUAAAACUCCGGCGGGGGCUUUUCUCGACGGGGUCCCGCUCAACUUUUCCCGAGAAGUCGACGUCGUUUAAAAGAGGCGCUGAAGGUCUGAGGCGGCGACGGGACCGCGGCGUUCCGUCGCGGAGCGGAGCGGUGCGGGGCCGCUCGGGGGGACCCCCCGGGAGGGGCGGGGGUCCGGUGGGACCUCGGGCUCCGCUCCUCGCAGCCCCCCCACCCCCAUCCUGCCUCGGGGUGAGGCUCCCUCCCGGUCACAGGGAAGAGAAAACCAUUCGGUGGUGGAAGAAAAGGCGAUUAAAUUAAAUUACUUUGGGGAUUACGGGCCACAUGCGGUGUAUUAAAGUGCUUUAAGCUACUUUGUAGCUUCUUUGGCAUUAGGGCGUUUAAUACGGGCUCGGUCGGUCUGCCCGGGAGCUUUGCUGGACGAGAAGGAGCGGGGUGGGAGGGAGACGGGACGCAGGGGAAAAGGAGACGGGAGCAGCACAGGGAGCUCGGGUCUGAGAGCUUUGCUUUGCUCCAUGUAGACCAGAUCCGGCUUUAAUUCGCCGUGCUAUAAACAAUAAUUUUUCUAAUCGGGGCCACCGAUACGAAAGGAGAACGCCCGUCUGUAGGCAGGGAUCUGAAAUGGGUAAUGCCGCCCGGGCAGCGUGCUUUGUAUGUUGCCCAUGGGGCGCGGGGACAGCCGCUGCCAGCGCCCGGCGUGCAGUGCCCGGCCGGGACGAGGGCACAAACGUCGGAGGUUUGAGGCUGAGGAAGGAGAAAACCGAUUCCUUUCCCAGAUCCUUCCCCCCGGGAGUGAGCGCUUCGGUCGGGCAGCGCUUCGGCCGUAGGCAGAUGUGUGAGACGGAGGUUCGGAUCCGCAGGGAGAGCGGCAGCAGCGUGGGGAGCUCCUGGAAUCACGGAGCGUGUGUCGCAUUUCUCACUCGGUUCGGGAUGUACCCAGAGAGAAGGGGGGGGGGGGGAGAACGACGAGACGAGGGGAUUCCUCGCUUGUUUUUCCUUAAGGCAAAUAUCUGUUCCGUGGUCGAGGGAAGAGGCGGCAGCGUUUUUGCAGUGGUGCGAAGUGUGCCUGUUGCUAGAAAUGCUUCUCACUUUGUUCCUGAAAAGUGUGCCAGAUGCACUGGUGUGCUCGCGUUGCUUUAUUUAUGUAAUGCGACGGGGGGGGGGGGGGGGGGGGGGGGUGUUGGGUGUGCUCUGUCCCUCGUGCAGCCGAUUUGGCUAAAUUUGCUGUGCUGGACUGCAAGGGCUACGUGCUCCUUUAUCCCACUGGCAGAACGGAGGGGCCUCUCCUUGCUGCUGCAUCCCUGCUCCUCGGGGAUGCUGCUCGGAAAGCCCAUCGCCCACGGCGUGCCCUGUGUUCAGCUCAACCCCAGUUAGCCAAAGGGCUGGCGGCUUUGCGUCCCACGCUGAGGGAUGAACCGUGUGCUGCUGGGCUCAUCCGGGUUGCAGCAGGAGCUCCCUGCUCUGCUACAGCCCAGGCACAGGGAUGGGAGCAUGGAGCCCUCGCUGCGAGCAGAUGAGUGUGAGUUAAUGGGGUACAGCCCACGGGCAGGGUCAGGUUUGCUUCUGCCACAAAGAGUUCCUAAGACAUAAUAAAUAGAGCCGAGAGAAAACAAACCUUUCCCUAAGUGGGACCGCGCUGCUCUGCCCAGCUGCCCGAGGAACUGAAUGUUUUGAUGAAAUCCAUGAUGAUGUAUACAGAACAAUUUUACUCUUAACCAGCUGCCACCUUCUUUCCUGCCGUGCUGAUCUAUUCGGACCCAAACACUUUCUCUUCCUUAAGAGCAUAGAUUUGCUCGAGGAGAAUCACCGAAAACAGGGUGAAUAAUUCCUAUGAAUCAGCGCCAUCCUGAGAGAAAGCAGCACUCGUAAUCGGAAAGCAAAGCGUCCGGAGGCAGCGCUGGGAGGGCUGCAGUGCUGUCCUGCUGGCUUCCCCUCGAAGGGCUGCUCAGCCCCCCUGCCCUCUCCAUAGGCACAGCACGAGGCAGACACACAGCUCGGCCCCCGGGAAGGGGCGUCGGGACCCUUUGCCCCCUCCUCUGUAGAAACUGCUGGUGGCGCACAGAGGCCUCUGCCGCACCGGGUGAGGUUCUCACCACUCUCAGGAGCUUUAAUUAGAGCCGCGCUGCACGCACUGCUUUCAUAGCUUCUCCUGUUUAUUAUUUAUGAUUUAAAGCACAGACGAAACAACGGGAGAAUAUAUUUUUUGGCUUCGCUUGCUAAGGAAAAACGGCGCGUGGUGGCACGGGGCAAUAAACAUUACAAAUAAAUAAGUAAGAGGAUUUCCACGGCAGUGCCCACCUGGUGCCGGGUGGGGUUGCAUUGCGCGCAGAGCCCCAUCUGCUGGGUCAGUGCCAUCCCAUGGGGGUGCCGCGUCCCUGCCUGGGGUGGGGGAAACACCGCCCAGAGGUACGAGGGGUUUACGGGCAGAUGCUGAUGCUCCGACGACGUUUUCUUCCCUGUUAGUCCUCCCUUUCGUCAGCACGGCGGAAAAAGAGACCGCUGCGAGCCCCACGUUGACGGCGGUCAUUUAAACCGCUGCUGGGAGGGCGCGAUGGACUGCAGCGUUCGGGCUGCAGCGCGCGGCGCCGCGGCUGUGCCGUUUGUUGAGCUUAUUUCCCGGCCGAGAGGCGCGCGCCCGGCCGCACACCUCCGGCUCUGCUGCUCACAGCGGCGCUCUUUGAAGUUCGGGUGUUCGUCGGCGCGCGCAUCCCCGGCUCUGCUUCCUAAAGCCCACCGAGACGGCGGCCGGGAGGAGUGCUGCGCAGCGCUGCGUUCUCCUCCCGGCCGCCGCCGGGAGCAACGCGGCCGCUCCGAGCGAGGAGCGCGGGACGGGACGGGAACGGUGCCUGAGCUGUGAGGGGCAGCCCGGGCUGUGCGGCUGCCUUCCCCCUGCGGGCAGGCGGCGAUCCGGGGUGCUCUGCGCUCUCGGUAGGGGCAGCCCAGAAACCGAGAGGGAAAAUUCAAAUAGGUGAGGCUGUGGAUGUGUUUGACGGAGAGGGUUCGGAGCGCAAAGUGAAACGGGGAUGCAGCAGAAAUUGGGUUACGUGGCUCUGAGUAAGUGCUCUCCCGUCAGAGCGGGAUUUAUUUCACAUCGCUGCUCUAGUUCUCGGCCUGAGGGUGUUUAACUCACCCGGAGCUGUUUGGCCUCCAGGAUGGAUUCCUGCAAUUACGUGUUUAUGAUUGCGAGCGCUGCCUGGGAAGCAGCAGGAGGAUAUCAUUUGGGGAGUGCUGGGAGGCACGGAGGGAGCUGGAGAGCCUUCUCCUGGGCUUCAGCCACUGCUACACUUCGGAGGGAGGCUGCAGCGCACUCCGGGCCUGACGUGCUGCUGCACUUAGCAGCUUGAAUAACAGGGCGUCAGAUAGGUAUUACUGCAUCGCCGUGACUUUAAACUCCUUCCUCGUAGUGACAACGUGCAGCUCGGGGCUGUGCGCGGUGCUCACCUCAGGCGUGUUUUCAGACCGCUCACAGCAGGCAGUGAACACGGCCUGCCCGAGGUCCCGUGGCUGCGGGCCUGCAGGGCUGGGCACGGCCUCCCACGGCCCCACACGUCUCACAACCUCAGUGACCUGCCCAGCGCCUGCCUGCUGCCCCACGGAUGCUCGGGACGCCUCGGUCGCACACUGUGGUGCACAGCGUGGGGAUGCCCGGCUGUGGGAGCCCCGGCUGGGACCAGCCAUGACCGAGGCCGGACCGCGGGCAUCUAUCGCAGCCAUCUGCCUGCAGCCCCACGCCAGAUGUGGCUCGAAGUCCUCAGAUGCCCUCUGCUGCCACGGACCAGAAUUAACAGAUGGCUCCGUGUAACCGGGUUUAGAUUUGCUGAAGUUUGCUAUUAUCUCCGCUUUUGUAAAUGGAUGGGGGCGGGGAAAUAAUAUCUGGGAUUAUUACAAAACAGGCAGAGCUUUUCAAAAAGUGUUAAGUCUGGGGCUGGGUCCCUUCUGACUCUGAAUGCCAUUGUCCCACAUUUCAAAAUGUUAACUCUAUUUUUAGCUUUCUCUUCAGAGCUCCCUCCCCUGAUAGCUUAUCCCUCUCGGUAUGAGUUUGGCCCAGCGAGCCGCCCAGGGCACAGCACACUUUGCCCCAGCAUUUUGAGCUCCAUUGUGUCUGAUGGAACCAACUCUGGUGCUGUGGCCGGGCUCUGCUCAGGGCAGGCACUGAGGGACGCAUUCAGCUGCCCGAUGUCCCUCUGCGUCACACAGGCCAGCAUGCAGGGGUCUGUGUCUGAAAUGGGAUGGGUGGCACCGAUGUCCCACACACAUGCCUGUGUCAGGGCAGGUCUGUGUGCAGGGAUACACACAGCAGGCCUGGAACACAACAGAUCCUGGAGGGGAUCCCUUGGCAAGCUCCGGGAAUUGAGCAGCUUUGCCGUGCCUGAGCUUUUGCUGUGCCUGAACUUUUGCUGUUUCUCACAGCAGUUCCUAUGAGGAAAAGCCAACCGAGCCUCCCCACUUAAGCUCCCAGUUGGUUCCUAAUGGAGGAGACCAGAGUAGGUUGUGUCCCCUCUCUGUACAGUGCCAAAGCCACCUCAUGUCCUGGGGCCAGCUGCUCACUGGGAUGGGAUGGGAUGGGAUGGGAUGGGAUGGGAUGGGAUGGGAUGGGAUGGGAUGGGAUGGGAUGAGCUUCCCCAGCCAUCCUCCAUUUUUAGCCACACAGUUCUAUGCUGCUUGCACUGUUCUAAAGCUUGCUUUCUUUUCUUUCUUCUUUUUUAUUUCUCUUCUAGAACAUAAUCUUGAAUUUACAGAAGUCCGUGGCAAAAUCUGGUUGUGAAUGGGGGCUUUGUUCUGCGAGACUAUUUCUGAAGACUCCUGGCUCUCUGUCUGCCUUUGUGUACAAGGCUGACACACGGGCCCAUCCACCCGCGCUGUGCCCAGCAGCACACCCUCUCUUUCCAGCUGCCCUCUUGCAGGGAUGCACACAGCUCUCCGGUGGGUGGGCUGUAUCCCAUCACCGUGGCAAACCUGUGGGGCUGUGAUAGUUUAUAAAACCUGACAGCAUGGUCCAUUGCAUGUACUUUUUCUAAAUCCAUAUUUUUCCAAUUUUUUUUUCCUGUAGUGGCAAGUUUUUUUUCUGUCCAUCUGGGAGCAGAAUCCUGUGCUCAGCGUAUGUAAAUAACAGCUGUUUCCACUCAAUUGCAUUUAUGUACUUAACACUUCAAAAUAGACUUUUUUCUAGAAGUUUCACAAUCUAGUCACCAUCCGUGCUUAGACUGAGGUACUGGGGGAGAGAUUAAUGAAACCCCUCCGGAGUGGCUGACAAAAGUAUACAGCUGUAGCUCUGGAAUCCCUGCACAGGAUGGAUCGCUGAUGCUGACGGCCGUGCUUCAAUGCACUGUGAAGGCAACUUCACUCCUUAGGCACCCUCAGCUCUGGCUUCUGGGGCUGCUAAGGGGGUAGCAGGAUGCCAGGUGAGGAGAGGAGCUGUGCUGAACUGGUAGUGCCUUCCUAGCAAAGUUAAUUUGUCAUGCAGAGCAGCUGAACAGGGGAAACAAUGGCAAGUUAUUUACAGGGAAAAGCUCAUCUGCCAGUGUCGCAGAUUUUUGAAUGCAUUAACCUAUUGCAUUCUGAGAAGAAAGGCAGCUCUUUAAUGCUCUGGUAUGUCUUUUGUUGUAAUGCCACUAGCUCUGAAAUGAAAAUACAGCCUUUUGGUUUUAAAAUGCCUCGAUGAAGACUUCAAGAAAUUAAUGUCCAAUUAUUUUUUUUUUGUCCAGAAGCCUCAUUAUUUUCUCAAAUGCCUCAACCUGAGCUAUUUCAUUAGAGUUUUGGAUCCUCUGAAGGCUGAGGAUUACAGAACAUUGAUAUUUAGUUACCCAUUCAUUCAAUUUACUGCAAUGCAGGCCGCUGAAAGAGUUGUUUGUUCCUAAAUCCAGGCUGUUUCUUAUGUCACUGUCUUUUUUAUUUUGCUUAUCCAGAAGAAAAAUACUUUGAUGUUUACUGCCGUCUCAACUGGAACACCUGUGAACCAGGCAGGACCAUGCUGAGGACUCAAGCUGUGAGGAGAGCGCAAUAACGGUGUGGGAGCUGUUGCUCUCACACAUUCCGAUGUGCCUGUGCCAGAGUGUUUAUAGGAGAAGCAAAGAGGACCUGAGCUCGGGUUGUCUGUGAGAACAGCCACCUGCUCCCACAGGGCAUGUCUGUAUUUCUGGAUAAGAACAUUCCUGAUGCCAGGAGGACCGGCUUACAGCCUUGCCAACAUGGUUCCCCCUAGGGCUCCUCCUGCUUUCCCACCCCGCAGUGCUCCCCAGACUCUGGUGCCCUGCGGGUCCAAUGUGGAAUGAUGCCUUUUUGUGUCUCUUUCAGUUCAGAGUGCCUGAAAUGAGGUGAAACCGCUCUGCAGCCUCCAAGAAUGGUGCUUCCCUAGUGUGAAUGGGAGGUACAUGUGUGUUUUGGAGCAUGCUAAUGUCUGAGGGUGUGCGGCCAUCUUGGGUUGCUCUGGGCAGAGGCACAACAAGGCCCGGCCUCUGGCGCAGGCCCUGCACUGCUAGGGGGGCCAGCUGGGAGAGGGCUGAGGGGAACAUGGUGAGGCAGUGUGGGCACUCAGCAGCCCCAAGCUUGAGCUUGGUGACCAUGCUCAGAGGGGCCAGCCUGUCGGCCUGCUGAUGGGCCCAGCUGGCCGGGCACAACCAGCACUCUGCAGGUGGUGUGCUUCACUCUUAGGAAAGCACAGGGAUUCUCAGGGGUCAUUUCCUCAUGUCACAAGUUAAAGCCUGAGCAGUGUUGAAGCAAAACAGUCAGAAGUUUGAGGGCCAGGACCAGCCAAGCAGCGUGGGGGUACUCACCACUGUUGCCUGCCUCAGGGUUGCCCACACCCUCCCUCCUUCACAGGCUGUGCCCCAGCCAUGGUCACCGUGCCACCUUUCAGCCACAACAGUGGCUUCAUUGGGCUCAUUUCAAGUCUUUUUCUUCUUAAACAAUAUACAAUAUAAUCUAAUAAUAUACAAUAUAAACAAUACAGCUGUAUAAAGUCAAUGAAUUGUAACCCACAUGGUCAAUGUGACGCAUGGAGUGUUUGUUGCAGUAGGUUUGAACAUACAAAUACACACUCUAGAAAGAGAAGUGUUAGGCCAUUUUUCUUAUUCUCCCUGUUAUGGCGAACACUUGGCACUGUGUGUGCCCUCCUUCUCAAUCAGAAAUCCUUUCUCUUAAUCAGUUCCUAAAAUCCAUAGAACUCGUUGCCACCCUCGGUUUCUCCAUCACUAAAUACAAGAUUUUAACUGCAUAAAAAAUAGGAUGGGAGCGAGGCAGUUUGACAAAGAUGUAAGGUACUCAUGGAAAACAACAAGCGAAUCCUGACCUAAAAGUGGGGACGUGGUUUAGUGAUGCAAUAUUGGUGGUAGCGGGAUGGUUGGACUGGAUGGUCUGGGAGGUCUUUUCUGACCUUGGUGAUUCUAUGACUCUAAGUCAGGAUUAAAAAAUACAGAAUAACCAAAAAAUUAAGAGGGAAUGUGAACUUUUAGAUUACCAUAAACUAAUGUAAACAAACAGUUAGACCUUCCUCCCUGGAAUUACUUUAUUGACUGGAAGCCUCAGAGCACCUUAAUGAAAGCAGAAGCAGAAGAGAAAGUCCGCAGCACAGCCAUUUUGUUAUUUGUCAUGUUCGUCUUCUGUAGCUACCUGGAGGUAACAGAUAGAACCGUGGGCUCAUCAGAAGAGGGACUACAGAGAUGCAUAAAAUAAGCAACUCUUGUUUAUUCGGAAUAAAUAAAAUGAAAGAAAAAAAAUUAAGAGCUUCGCUACUAACUUUUAAUAUUUUUAGUAUUUAGAUGAUUAAACAAAAGGAGGUGAGAGAUUAAAAUCCUAUGCACAGUCGUUAAGCAUGUGCAUUACUGCAUACAGAGAACAAAAACCAGGAAGUUAGAAAGCUGUUGCAGUGAAGGCAAAACACAUUGCUUCAUUUGCUCAGCAAGAGAAAACUGCUUAGUCUUUAAAAUAUUUUGCUGACUUUCUCAUCUCCUCAUUCAGGACUUCUGUAUAUGGACUACAUGCUACUAAAGGUUAGCAGGAACAGCAAAAAAAAAAGGUUUCACCUUUAAGCAGAGUACUUCUGUAUUUCUGUCUCUGCUCUCAAACUGUUGCCCUGCCCUGCCCUCCCAACUCAACCAACCAAAAAAUAAUUCCCAAACACAAUAAAACUACUUUUAUUUGCUAUGAUAUGGGCAUCUAAAUCUCCACCGCCCUUCAAAGAAGAGAGAGAAGCACCUCCAGAAAACAAUGUGUGGCUUAUUCUAGGUAUUUUUUUUUUAAAUGGGAUUUACUGCCUCAUUGAGGUACUUUGUAUGUGUGUCCAUUGACUAUACAGUGAGUCUACGACAGUUAACUCAGGUUUAGAUGUCUAAUUAGUAGUUGUCCCAAUGUUAAGAAACAAGUCUAGCUCUUAUAAAUUGUACGUACACAAUUAGUCUGAACUUUAUUCUAGUGAAAAGUGGGCUCUGAGUCAAUUUAUUCUCCAGUAGUAUUGAAGUGAAACACACGUCCUCCAUAACAGAAGAGGGAUGCAGCCUGCACAGUCUAUGUCUGCUUGACCAUAUAACCUUGUACUGUUUUUCAGGAUGGAAUGAGCAUGUGGGCAAUUGUAACAACGCACCACGAAAACUGGAAUAACUGAGAAAGGCAGCGUCGACAUCAAACAUAAAUUACUAUUAUGAUACAUUAUAAAGCUGCAGCAGAGAUGUAGUGGUGGCACAGCAGAAGCUGGAGAUGUCAGGUGAAAUCCAGGCCCUCCCAACAGCCAGCUUUUCCAUGGGGCUGAAUAGCUGCAUAGGGCUGGGGGGAUGGGGUGGCUCACCACUCCCUCCAUUCUUGUCUCGAGGAACUGGAGCAUACAGACACGAAACUCGAAACUCGUCAAAUGGGCACAUUUGGCAGUGCUGUACUACUGACUCAAUUUUUCAAAGCCACAAGGGUUGGGUGCUUUUUGCUGUUGUUUAGUAAGUAUGAAGAAAGAUACAUCUCUGAUAGACUAGAAAAGUCAAACAGUUCAAAGCAAACAAGAAAGUGCUAGAAAAGAACCUUUGACCCUUUGAAUCCAAGCACUUUCAGACCUUCCAGGAAAUAGCUUAUUCUUCAGUACUUGCAAAUUUAAUUAAACAACAGCUGGUGCAUGUCGCUCAUAGUGUUAAGUCCCACGAUUCAGCUAUAUGAUCUACGGCUUCGGACAAACCCAGUAGAGCCACUGUGCAAGAUUGCCUCCCGGUGGUGGUACCACGAACCUGCAGAAUGACAGAAUUUGCACACAGAAAAGGCAAAAAACCCAUUCCAAAAGAAGGCUUCCUUUUUGAAUUCAGGUCUAGGUAGAGUAAGGGAAAAAUUUCAGUGAGGUUUUAAUGGCUUGAAUUGAGGACAAACCUUUUGAUAUGUGACUGAAGCAGAGCUUCUAGUGGAAUAGCACUAACAAGGAAAGCUCAGAGAGACUUUCAGUACAACAUUAAAAUAAGUUAAAAAUCAGCAAGAUGUACUCAAUUGCACACUGUCCGCACCAAUGAGCCUCCUGAAGUCUGAAACAAUACCUAUUAAGCACAAGGCAGAUGGCUGAGUGCCAUAACUUGGAUACAAAAACACUACAGCAGAUUUCCCAUUCUACCAAUUCUACGUAACCCAAAUUUUCAGUUACAAAGUUAGCACAAGUGAAAAAAAAGACAACAGAAAGCCCCAAACUGCCUUUCAAAUUGAUUGUUCUUUUAGGCAAAAGCAGGAAAAGACUCCAGCAGAUGGAUUUCCAAUUCCAAUUCUUCAAGUAAAGAGAAACACACAGUUAAAGACAGCUUUAUGUAGCUGUUCAAGAUGAUGAAAGCCAAGAGGACAGCUUGAAAUUACUGUGGGAAUAGGAGUUUAGUUGGGUCACGCUUCAGAUGACCCAGACGAAAGAUUUAGUAUAAGAAAACAGAAAUAUUGGCAGCGCAGUGCAGGGAAAGAUUUUAAAACACCCAUUUUAUGGAUUAACAUAACAACAAAUUGGCAGAGGGUACGCGCAGUGAGCGCGUCUCAGACUCGCUCAGUUCCCAGUAACUGCUCAGAAGAGGAAGCACUUUAAAUCAGCUAGCAGUCCCACACAUAGCAGAUGUGUAGUCCUCCAAAUACCUGAGGAGUGUUCAAAAACACGAGGGAGAAAAUGAGAAAUGUAACAACAUUUCUGCAGUGACUGCGGGUGAUAAAUUGUCAGGUUUGACAGGCAAGAACAGACAAAUGUAGUAAUACUGUGCUAACAAAAGGCUUCUGCAGAAGAAAGUGUCUUAACAGCAUUAUGCAGGCAUAAGCAAGAAUGUGUUUGUGGGGGGGAUAAAAACUUGAAAGCUGAACCCAAGAAAGAACAUCUUUUCUUAAAUCGGAAUGAAAUCAGGCAGGGACAAAUUAGGUCUCAGCUUCCCAAAAAGAAUGGUGGUUCAGUUUUACAUGGUGGAUUGUAACAAAGGGGUGAGCGUGAGAUGUAACCUUCUCACAUACGGACCUGUGUCAGUAACAGUAACGCCAUAAACCCAUGCACAUACUAACAUUUGCUAUGCCACCAAUUACUAAAAACCCUUCAAAAAUGUGAUACUGUAAGCAGAGGAAUAAUUACUUUUGUUCAACUGAAUGUGCAGAGUAAGCAGAUGUCCUUCCCAUGAACACAACAAACAUUCCUUCAUGACAGUAUGUUGUCAUGUGAGCAACGCAUUGUGUCACACAAAGCCAGAAUCUCUGUGCCGAUGUAGGAUUACACACGGCAUCAGAUUAACAUAGAAGCAUAGCAGAGAGGAGCAGAACUAUUCCAUGCUAUCCCAGAACAAAUCAUUUUGGGCUAACUGGUAUUACAUGUUAAAAGUAACAGCCAAAUACUUAAGACUAGCUUGACGCAUCUGACAUUAACUUCACACAAUGAAAGCACUCAAGGAAAACAAGUUAUUAAGAAUUCUAGAAAAAAGCAGGUGUACUUCACACUACAAUGUGUGAAUUAGAGACUUUACACAGUACUCAUCUUCUAGCAAAACACAUGGAUAACACAAGCAGGCAAAAUGACACUAGAUGAAUGCAAGAAACAAGUACCUUCCUGUCUUAUCCAAGUUGCCUUGGAAAGAAAGUGUGAUGACAGUAUUUUAUUAGCAGAAAUAUUUAAGCACUGCAAGGUGCUGAAGCUAUGAAGCAGAUUAAAACCACGUUUCUUGAAUUUAAAGCAUUUGAAGGACCAGUCCUUUCCCCUUGGUAAGCUGGAAAGAGUAAGUAUCUUCACUGAAUCAUUACUGGGCUAAAGCAAGGAACUAUUCCUCCCCUGAGCUACACCUGUUUAAUUUAUAUACAAACAUACACAGCAUCCUCACCGAACAAUAGUUAGGGUGAAUUUAAAAUUAAAAACAACAAAACCAUACACAAAUAUCUCAAAUAUUUGGGAAUACCGAAUGAUUAAAGGGCGAGGGAUGCCCUGGAAGCUGAAGUUUAACCAAGUUGCCCAGCUUCCAGUAUAAGAAAAGAGCCUUAAAUUCUUUAAACCUCAGUAUUCAAAGCUCAUCUGCACUUCAAGUAUUAGAUUUCUAAAAUAAGAAACCACAGCACGUCCAGUUCUUGAACUCCCACUCUGAAAUACUGCUUCUAUGCACUCACUUUACGAUAAGCCUCUGACCUACUUUAAUCAGAGCACUCCAUCAUCUGUUACAUGCAGAUCUGAGACCGGCACAUUCUCUGACCCUCCGCACACAGUAUUCUUCAGAGCCCUCACGUCAUCAGUGCACUUCUGUUGUUUCCCUAUUAUCAACUAAAUGAAAUGGGAAAAGUCAAAUUUAGUUAAGCAUGGUUUCGUUAAAACACACAUGCAGAACUGAUAAACGUUUCUGUAUUUUAUUUCAAAUAAAGGUCAAUGACAACGUGCUCACGAGCAACAAGUCAUCUUAAUCAUCUGUCUUUAGGAGGAUUAGGAUUCUUCCGUCUUCUCUGAUACCUAGGAGAUAAAAAAAAGCUGCUGUGAACGCAAGUUUUGGAAAAAUCUUUGAUUUUCCUGACCUUCUUCCCUCCAGAAGCAGUUUGGAGACUACACACCUUUUCUUCAUUCAAUCUGGAUUUCAAAACUUGAUCAAGAGUUUCCUCUUUGUUAUUCACUGGAUCUGGUCGUGGCACGGGCUAUGAAAAACAGCAGCGUAAGUAUUUUCUUUCCUCCUCUUUGAGGAAAAACAAAAAGUCAAACUGCAUUGAUAACAUUACUGUUUACUCUUCAAAGCUGAGAAGAAAAGAACUAAAAAGAGAAAGCAUCAUAAAAGGCUCCCUCCCUUCUCAAUCAAAACCACAUCACUGUGGGGAGGAUUUCUAGAAGCACCCCAUUACCCCGGCUGCUACAGCUGAUGACUGUGUCCCACUGUCAUUACUACUGCUGAGCUCUCACCCUUACAAUUCACUAAGCUGAAUCAUAAGCAUCAAUUUACUAACACAAAAUACUCAUAUUAUUGCUAUGUAUACAUUUAUUCAUAGUGAUGAUCACCAUUUAAUCGUAUUAAGUUUUUGUUUAAGUUUUUAUUGAUUUUUUUUUCCUGUGUGGUUUAUGAACUCACAGAGUUGAAUGGAAUUUAAAGCCUGAGUUUAAAAUAAGAGCACCUCUUCAUGUCCCCCAUACACUGCUACAUCUGAACACAGGAGGAUGUAUGAGUUAUCACCUGGACUUCAAACAUCUCUGAGGAGCAUGCUCUUAGACAACCACUAGUUUUCUCUGUAGUGCACAACCAUUUCAGUACCUCAUUUAAUUCACUUCGAGUAAUGCUGUAAUAACCUGAGCGUUUAUUUGCCUGCAGCUUUCUCUCACUUCAGCUAAAAGUCCUCCAUACAGCAGCAGCUAUAUUCAUCACUCACCUCACAGAUGUGCUGCUCAUGUAAGGAACUGUACCUCUGUAUUUCAAAUGGCAAGGAAAAACCAACAGUUGUCCUAAAGGCUCAGAACUACUUAUGCUUUUACACGACUAAGCAGAGCGUACAGUUGGACGUACUUUUGUGUGCUCGUAUGGAAUCUCAAGUGAAGGGUGGUAGCAGACAAUUGUCUUCGAAUCUGAUGUCAAGGCAAGUUCCACUUUGCUAUGAAAAUAAAAAGGGACAUUCUUACAAUCCCUUACAAUUUUCAGUAAUGCUCAGUGACUGAGCAGCUCAAUUCCCAAAGAAAACCUGAUUUCACCCUCUAUUUAUGAAUUCUUCAGAAAUCUAUAAAAUAAAACCUGAAAAAAUAAGGCUCACAAGUACUUGAUCUGAACUUCUUUCUUCUUCCCAGCUAUCUCGUGUUUCUUUCUUUCUUUUUUAUGGAAGAGAACAGAGGGUUAAAAUGGAGAUCUACAGACAGCUGGAAAUACGGUUUGGAAAAGUCUUUAAGACACCGAGGAAUGACAUUAAAAGUAACAGCAGAUCAUGCACGUCAGUGAUAUGUAGGACAACGUGACCGUAUAAGAAGUGUGGCACCAAUAAGAGAAAGAAUAGGAAAUAAAGCCCCAGGGUUCCAACCUUUAUAUUUAACAAAUGCUGUUUCUACUGAAGUUUGCCACGCAGCAGCACAACAUUACCAGGGCUUUGUCUUAACAAUAAGCAUCGGUGAAAAUGAGUGCUCUUUCUUUUGCUCUUCCACAGUUAAAGAUGCGGUGGUACUGGGGUCAUCAUCAUGUUUAGAAUGAGUCAUGCAUGAUUUUUUAUUAUGCUCAUUUUUGAAACGUUAGCUUCACAAUCAUUAUGACUGGAAACAGUACUUCACUUUAAAUUAUUAUACACCUAUAUCCAAAAGUGGAAGAGAGUGUGUUUGAUACCAUCAGAUGACAACUUGAUGGCAGAGCCAGUAACCUGCAAUAUACAUCGCAUGAGAAGGCCACGCAAAGCACGUUAACAUACCAGUUGUAGUCUUCAGGGAGCACCGAGUAUGUUGAUUUAUGACAAGCAUGACAUACAGCUCCAACUGCGAGGGAAAAAAAAAUACAAACAAAUAUGAAGUACUGUCUAAAUAGAAGCUUACUUUAUCAUGAAGAUUCCUAGUGCUAUCAAAAAUGCAGUAUUUACGUAGCCAUGUCCUACUUUUAUAUUUCCAUUGUACUGUAUUCCUAAGAAAAAAAACAUAGCAUGAACAAAACACAAAUGUCACUGCUAUAUCUCUCUAAAUACAUUAGCAAAAUAGAUGUGUUUUGAGAUCAUAUAGCACUGAAAGGGCAAAGAACAUUAUCAUAUGAUCUACAGGGAAGAUUAUCUGAUUUUUUUCUUUAAUUCAUAGCAACAUUCCCUGUUAAACUGAAUUUGUACUUUGCCAAAGGGUGGUAUAUAUGCUAUGCAAAACUACAACGCCUUGCCUGCUCUACCACUACAGAACUCAAUUCCUUCCACAGGUUCCUGUUACUCCAAAGAAAGCAAUCACAAGUGAAAUCAGGAGCUCGGGUGGACCUAGGGUUUGAACAUAUAGGGGUUAAAUAAGCUAGCUUUGAAAACUAAGGAAGGAGAAUGACACCUCAACAUUUCAUGGUCAGUUGUGCAAACACAAAGAAAGGAACAAUACAAAAUGAAUGGCUUUGACCAGUUUGAAUGCACCAUAAAAAGGUCAGACUGAGGAAGACGUCGAGCCUCUGCGAGGAAGACUUCUGACUUCAUCCCCACGACCACCAGAGGGAAACCCCUACUACGGACAACUCAUGUGCCAGGGAAGGGGCAGCAUGUAAACGAAUUCCCAGGAGGAUAAUGAAUAAGUAGAUGGGUUCCAAGAAUUCUGCUGAACGUGUAUGGACUUGGCUUACAAAUUUGUAGAGUUUUUGCUUGCUGGUGCACAAGUUUGGUGCAGUCAUCCCCUUGCACCCGGCCGGCCGAAUAAACCAUACCUGCUUUAUAACCUAA